rnacentral:misc_RNA from 1 species
UGGUAAUCAUAUCAUUCUACAUUAUAACACACAAGCCAACACUACAGCAUAUAAUUCAGCAAAAAAAAGAAACCUAAUAAUGAGAGUCAUCUUUCCAACAUUGAUAAACUCUCCAUAUGAUUUCUCCAGUACACGUACAUUACAGAAAAUUCGGAGAGUGGAUAUUAAAAACUAUUACUAUAACUCAACUCAAUUCAAUUUAAUUAAAUUUUUAUCCUAAAAAUUUGAAGUCGGCUAUAUAAAUUCUAUUUCUCCACUCUAAACGAGUUUGGGUUAAAUCCUCAGAAAUG